rnacentral:rRNA from 1 species
AUACGGAGGGGGCGAGCGUUAUUCGGAAUCAUUGGGCGUAAAGGGCGCGUAGGCGGCCUGACAAGUCAGGGGUGAAAUCCCUCGGCUCAACCGAGGAACUGCCUCUGAAACUGUCAGGCUCGAGGCCGGGAGAGGGUAGUGGAAUUCCCAGUGUAGCGGUGAAAUGCGUAGAUAUUGGGAGGAACACCAGUGGCGAAGGCGGCUACCUGGACCGGUUCUGACGCUGAGGCGCGAAAGUGUGGGGAGCAAACAGGAUUAGAUACCCUAGUAGUCC